UGUCGUGGUUGCAGGAAGUGAAGAGCACCCGUGAGCCGUGACCAUACCAUCUUCUUCUCUGAGCCGCCCACACCAAAGAAAGAGAGACAGAGCUCCCCUUCACCUCAGUUAAGAUGAGCAGCGUCAGGUUGGAAAAACGGAGAACGGCGGUGCAGCGCAGCGCGGAGAUUUCAUCGACCACCCAAGUGACUUUUUCAGCUGCAGCUUAAUGUGUCAUUUUUCAUGUCAUCUAAAAAUAUACGAUCAUUGUGUACAGAGUUCUCGGCGGUAGAUGUGGCAACAGGUGAAGUACCCAUGGAUCCCAUAUUCUCCAGAACCAAUAGCCAGAUACCUUCAGAUCACCCGUCAAUCGACGUGGAUCUUGUUGAAGACGAGAAUGAUAGCAGACCAGUGACGCACACCAUGCCGGGAAAUGAUGGAUGGAUAAGACGGCAGAGAGCCAUGUGUUGCGUGGAGGUGGAUUUAUUCACCAUGAAUACAUAAGGAACAUUUUUGUUGGCAAUCAUAUAUCACACACGAUGUCAACAGAUGUCCAAUGAUAGUAUUACCAGUGGCACACAAUCAUUCGUGGUUCACAUUGAUUUUUAACUUCCCAAGGAGAAGGACAACAAUCCUCGAUCCGAUGAUAAACAACGGAAACAGACUAGUAGAUGAAAUCCGCAAUGAGCAUAUCAAGUUAGCCGACGAGCUGCCUAGCGCACAAAUGGAUUGUAUUGCAGAAUUCUUCGAUGGAUGGGCACCAAAGACAAAAGGAUGGCAGAAUUGGUUCCCCAAACUGACAACUGGACCUUGGGUCUGCAGCAGGGCUUCUAGCGGUGUAUUAGCACUUUACUUCGCAAGGCAAUGGAUGGGUACAAAAUUACAGAGGACUCUAUCGCCUCUAGGGGAUGAAAUUGACCAAUAUCGGAUGAUGCUUCUCUAUAAAGUUCUUGGGUUAGACGGUAACAUCGGCCAGCUACCUGCUAAAUUUAAGUUAUGCCAGAAUGAACCUUCAAGAGAGGAAGCAACUGUUUGCUUUAAUAUAACAUAACAUGAAAGCGAUGAUGAUAUCUAAACUACUAGAAAUAAUUCGUGCAAUCGAGGAGAUCCUAGAUGGCACACACUAUAUCUUUAUUCACCAUCAACAUUUAUGUCUUUUAUAUUUCUAGACUAAGGAAUUGUAAUGUGCUUGUCACAUCACUAGGAGAUGAUUUUAUUUAAGACUUCCAGACCGUAUGAAGAACCAUUUAAAUUUUCUGAAAUGAC